UCCGCCGCCGUGAGCCACCGUAUGGCCACCACCUCGCCACCACAGCUCCACCACAUGUUCCUCUACCUGUCCCUAGCUUGCCAUGAAGUUCUAUGGUCUUCCACCACCUCAAGCAAACACCCACCAUUCGGAUUUACUGUUCACGGCAUGAUGCCGCCGUGCUCCGCCACCUUCGACCACCACAAGGCCACCAUGAGCCUUCCAAGGCCACGCCUAGCUAUCCUCGAGCCUGAACCGCCACUUUAUGUGAUGGACAGCCACCGUACGCGGUGUUACCGCCACGUACGCUCCUCCGACGCUUAAUCGUGACGCGCAGCGAGCGACGCACGGGUUAGCCCGUCGAUGGUUGCCAUCUGACACGCACAUGAAUGGACUGCAUGAAUUGAGUAUGGCAUGAAGUCCAGGCAUAAGAUGAGCUUGACAGGUCAGAACAGGCACAGCCCAAGGGGAAGAGCACGAAGGCCUAGGCAAGAUGUUUCACAUUAAAAGCUUUAAUUUUGUAACGUAAUGUUUUCCACUGAAAGUUUUAAUCAAGAAAAAAUGAGAUUUUAUUUAUAACAUGGAGUCUUUUGUAUCCUGGUAUGUACAGAAAAGAGAUUGAAAAGGAAUCGUAAUUCCCGUCAGUUUUUAUCAAAAUCGAUAU